rnacentral:rRNA from 1 species
CCUACGUGGGGCAGCAGUGAGGAAUAUUGGUCAAUGGGCGCGAGCCUGAACCAGCCAAGUAGCGUGAAGGAUGACUGCCCUACGGGUUGUAAACUUCUUUUAUAAAGGAAUAAAGUGAGGCACGUGUGCCUUUUUGUAUGUACUUUAUGAAUAAGGAUCGGCUAACUCCGUGCCAGCAGCCGCGGUAAUACGGAGGAUCCGAGCGUUAUCCGGAUUUAUUGGGUUUAAAGGGAGCGUAGAUGGGUUGUUAAGUCAGUUGUGAAAGUUUGCGGCUCAACCGUAAAAUUGCAAUUGAUACUGGCAGUCUUGAGUACAGUUGAGGUAGGCGGAAUUCGUGGUGUAGCGGUGAAAUGCUUAGAUAUCACGAAGAACUCCGAUUGCGAAGGCAGCUUACUAAACUGCCACUGACAUUGAUGCUCGAAAGUGUGGGUAUCAAACAGGAUUAGAUUCCCUAGUAGUC